GCAGAACUCAAGUGUCACUAUAUAGUCUGCAGUCAAUCAGGAAGUAAGGGGGGGGAAUGGGAACGGGGACACAGGCAAGCCUCUGUGGUGUCAGAGCUGGGAAGGGGGAUACUGAGGAAGGAAACUGGAAUCAUUGCUUGCUGGAAGUUUACCCCAAUAAACAUUGAAUUGUUUGCA